GUUGAUAAGGUUAAGUGAAUAAGGGCGCACGGUGGAUGCCUUGGCACUAGGAGCCGAUGAAGGACGGGACUAACACCGAUAUGCUUUGGGGAGCUGUACGUAAGCUAUGAUCCAGAGAUUUCCGAAUGGGGAAACCCAACAUCUUUUAUAGGAUGUUACGUUUGCGUGAAUACAUAGCGCAUUCGAGGUAGACGCAGAGAACUGAAACAUCUAAGUACCUGCAGGAAGAGAAAGAAAAUUCGAUUCCCUGAGUAGCGGCGAGCGAAACGGGAAAAGCCCAAACCAAUGAGCUUGCUCAUUGGGGUUGUAGGACUCCAAUAUGGUAGUUCUUUCAGAUAAUCGAAUGACUUGGAAAAGUCAGUCAAAGAGGGUAAAAACCCCGUAGAUGAAAUUUGGAAGGCACCUAGGAGGAUCCUGAGUACGGCGGAACACGAGGAAUUCCGUCGGAAUCCGGGAGGACCAUCUCCCAAGGCUAAAUACUCCCUAGUGACCGAUAGUGAACCAGUACCGUGAGGGAAAGGUGAAAAGCACCCCGGAAGGGGAGUGAAAUAGAACCUGAAACCGUGUGCCUACAACAAGUCAAAGCCCGUUAAUGGGUGAUGGCGUGCCUUUUGUAGAAUGAACCGGCGAGUUACGAUUGCAUGCGAGGUUAAGUCGAAGAGACGGAGCCGCAGCGAAAGCGAGUCUGAAUAGGGCGUUUGAGUAUGUAGUCGUAGACCCGAAACCAUGUGAUCUACCCAUGUCCAGGUUGAAGGUGCGGUAAAACGCACUGGAGGACCGAACCCACGUACGUUGAAAAGUGCGGGGAUGAGGUGUGGGUAGCGGAGAAAUUCCAAACGAACUUGGAGAUAGCUGGUUCUCUCCGAAAUAGCUUUAGGGCUAGCCUCGGAUUUGAGAAUGAUGGAGGUAGAGCACUGUUUGGACUAGGGGCCCAUCUCGGGUUACCGAAUUCAGAUAAACUCCGAAUGCCAUUCAUUCAUAUCCGGGAGUCAGACUGUGAGUGAUAAGAUCCAUAGUCGAAAGGGAAACAGCCCAGACCACCAGCUAAGGUCCCAAAAUAUAUGUUAAGUGGAAAAGGAUGUGGGGUUGCACAGACAACUAGGAUGUUGGCUCAGAAGCAGCCACCAUUUAAAGAGUGCGUAAUAGCUCACUAGUCGAGUGACCCUGCGCCGAAAAUGUACCGGGGCUAAACAUAUUACCGAAGCUGUGGAGUACACCAUUAGGUGUAUUGGUAGGAGAGCGUUCUAAGGGCGUUGAAGGCAGAUCGUGAGGACUGCUGGAGCGCUUAGAAGUGAGAAUGCCGGUAUGAGUAGCGAAAGACAGGUGAGAAUCCUGUCCACCGAAUGACUAAGGUUUCCUGGGGAAGGCUCGUCCGCCCAGGGUUAGUCGGGACCUAAGCCGAGGCCGACAGGCGUAGGCGAUGGACAACAGGUUGAUAUUCCUGUACUCGUUGUUUUUGUUUGAGCAAUGGAGGGACGCAGGAGGCUAAGGAAUGCAGACGAUUGGAAAUGUCUGUCCAAGCAGUAAGUCUUGAUAGGAGUCAAAUGCUUCUGUCUACACGGAUAAGCUGUGAUGGGGAGGGAAAUAAUAGUACCGAAGUUCCUGAUGUCACACUGCCAAGAAAAGCUUCUAGUGAGAAAACAAUGACCCGUACCGCAAACCGACACAGGUAGUCGAGGAGAGAAUCCUAAGGUGAGCGAGAGAACUCUCGUUAAGGAACUCGGCAAAAUGACCCCGUAACUUCGGGAGAAGGGGUGCUGAUCUUUGAUCAGCCGCAGUGAAUAGGCCCAAGCGACUGUUUAUCAAAAACACAGGUCUCUGCAAAAUCGUAAGAUGAAGUAUAGGGGCUGACGCCUGCCCGGUGCUGGAAGGUUAAGAGGAGUGCUUAGCGUAAGCGAAGGUACGAAUUGAAGCCCCAGUAAACGGCGGCCGUAACUAUAACGGUCCUAAGGUAGCGAAAUUCCUUGUCGGGUAAGUUCCG
rnacentral:rRNA from 1 species